GAUGAACGCUAGCGGCAGGCUUAACACAUGCAAGUCGAGGGGUAUUGGUUUUCGGACCAAGAGACCGGCGCACGGGUGCGUAACGCGUAUGCAAUCUACCUUUUGCAGAGGGAUAGCCCAGAGAAAUUUGGAUUAAUACCUCAUAGUAUAGUACUUUGGCAUCAAGGAACUAUUAAAGUCACAACGGCAAAGAUGAGCAUGCGUCCCAUUAGCUAGUUGGUAAGGUAACGGCUUACCAAGGCUACGAUGGGUAGGGUUCUGAGAGGGAGAUCCCCACACUGGUACUGAGACACGGACCAGACU
rnacentral:rRNA from 1 species